rnacentral:rRNA from 1 species
UAUCCGGGAGACACACGGCGGGUGCUAACGUCCGUCGUGAAGAGGGAAACAACCCAGACCGCCGGCUAAGGUCCCAAAGUUCUGGUUAAGUGGGAAACGAUGUGGGAAGGCUCAGACAGCUAGGAUGUUGGCUUAGAAGCAGCCAUCAUUUAAAGAAAGCGUAAUAGCUCACUAGUCGAGUCGGCCUGCGCGGAAGAUGUAACGGGGCUCAAACCAGGCACCGAAGCCGCGGAUUCACGCUAAGCGUGAGUGGUAGGGGAGCGUUCUGUAAGUCUGCGAAGGUGU